UGUGUCAUACCAGCCCCUUCACUAGGGCUGCAGGAACAGUAUGCCACCAAGGAAAUAGAUCUUCAGGAAAAGAGAACAUCAUUGAUCUGAGCCCAGAAUGGUGUAGGGAAGGUGCUGACUGAUGGAAGAUAGGAGCAGGCAAGUUGGAAAGAUGAAAUGAAGUUGUACUUUGCAAAGAGGCUGUCAGGAGUGCAUUACAACAGUUAAUCCACAUGGACUGGCAAGAUUAUCCUUUCUAAGAUACGUUGGCGGGCAAAGUGUUGAGCCAGCGCUUGAUAAGGCAGAUUCCUGAGGUCUUGUUUUCCCUUCGUUUCAAAACUCUGCGUGAGGAUGGUGGUCAUGCUGAAGCAAUGACAGUGGCUUGACCCUUCUUUAACAAGGAUGCAGCCUAGAAAUGUCUACGCUGAAUUCCAGGGAUGUCCAGGUAUCCAUAAGGAUCAUGUGCCAUCAAGUCAUUUUUGAUUCUAGUGACCACCUAGAUGGAUUUUCUCCAUGAGUCCACAGAGAAGGGUUCCAAGAAGGUAAGAUGGAGGCCACAACCAGGCAAUCAAGGCCCCGCCCCUUUUUAACGUGCAUCAACACUUUCAUUCUAGCUAUAAGAAGCUGGCUGGAUUCACGCCAAAACCAAACCAAGCCCUAAAUGGUUAGGAAAUCGUGUGAAGCCAGCCAGUUCUCUUGUCUUGACCACUUAUGGAUAUAGUAACAGAUUUUGAAGAGAUUCCUGUAAUCACAGCAGCUUGCCAAGGAAUAAUAAUGAUAAUUAUAAUACUUAACAAUUGUUGAUAAGAAAGACAAAAAAGUCUGGAUAGUGGACAUUGCAA